rnacentral:rRNA from 1 species
GAUGAACGCUAGCGGGAGGCCUAAUACAUGCAAGUCGAACGGUAACAGGGGUAGCAAUACCUGCUGACGAGUGGCGCACGGGUGCGUAACGCGUACACAAUCUGCCUUAUACUGGGGCAUAACCUUGGGAAACUGAGGCUAAUUCUCCAUAACAUAUCGAAAAGGCAUCUUUUUGAUAUUAAAACUCCGGUGGUAUAAGAUGGGUGUGCGUCCGAUUAGGUAGUUGGUGAGGUAACGGCUCACCAAGCCAACGAUCGGUAGCUGGUCUGAGAGGAUGAUCAGCCACAUGGGCACUGAGACACGGGCCCGACUCCUACGGGAGGCAGCAGUAGGGAAUAUUGGACAAUGGGCGCAAGCCUGAUCCAGCCAUCCCGCGUGAAGGAUUAAGGCCCUCUGGGUUGUAAACUUCUUUUCUCUGGGAAUAAAAAGUGGGGUUCUCCCUACCUUGAAGGUACCAGAGGAAUAAGCACCGGCUAACUCCGUGCCAGCAGCCGCGGUAAAGUGCGCG